UACGUAGGGUGCAAGCGUUAAUCGGAAUUACUGGGCGUAAAGCGUGCGCAGGCGGUGAUGUAAGACAGUUGUGAAAUCCCCCGGGCUCAACCUGGGAACUGCAUCUGUGACUGCAUCGCUGGAGUGCGGCAGAGGGGGAUGGAAUUCCGCGUGUAGCAGUGAAAUGCGUAGAUAUGCGGAGGAACACCGAUGGCGAAGGCAAUCCCCUGGGCCUGCACUGACGCUCAUGCACGAAAGCGUGGGGAGCAAAAGGG
rnacentral:rRNA from 1 species